GCCCGUGUUGCAUAGCUUGGAUAGUGCGUCAGGUUGCGGACCUGAAGGCCCGGGGUUCAAAUCCUCGCACGGGCG
rnacentral:tRNA from 2 species